rnacentral:rRNA from 1 species
UACGUAGGGGGCAAGCGUUGUUCGGAAUUACUGGGCGUAAAGGGCGCGUAGGCGGCCUGGCAAGUCGGGAGUGAAAGGCCUGGGCUCAACCGAGGAACUGCUUUCGAGACUGCCAAGCUAGAGUGCGGAAGGGGCAUCUGGAAUUCCCAGUGUAGCGGUGAAAUGCGUAGAUAUUGGGAAGAACACCUGAGGCGAAGGCGGGAUGCUGGGCCGACACUGACGCUGAGGCGCGAAAGCCAGGGGAGCAAACGGG